UACGUAGGGGGCAAGCGUUGUCCGGAUUUAUUGGGCGUAAAGAGCUCGUAGGCGGCUUGUCGCGUCGAAUGUGAAAACCCACGGCUCAACUGUGGGCUUGCAUUCGAUACGGGCAGACUAGAGUGAUGUAGGGGAGACUGGAAUUCCUGGUGUAGCGGUGAAAUGCGCAGAUAUCAGGAGGAACACCGAUGGCGAAGGCAGGUCUCUGGGCAUUAACUGACGCUGAGGAGCGAAAGCAUGGGGAGCGAACAGG
rnacentral:rRNA from 1 species